rnacentral:rRNA from 1 species
AUAAGUAGCCGGCCUGAGAGGGUGACCGGCCACAUUGGGACUGAGACACGGCCCAAACUCCUACGGGAGGCAGCAGCUAAGAAUCUUCCGCAAUGGGCGCAAGCCUGACGGAGCGACGCCGCGUGGACGAAGAAUGCCGAGAGGUUGUAAAGUCCUUUUAUAUGCGAAGAAUAAUAUCUUUAGGUAAUGAUCGAUAGAUGACGUUAGCAUAUGAAUAAGCUCCGGCCAAUUACGUGCCAGCAGCCGCGGUAACACGUAAGGAGCGAGCGUUGUUCGGAAUUAUUGGGCGUAAAGGGCAUGUAGGCGGUUUUUUAAGUCUGAUGUGAAAUACUACAGCUUAACUGUGGGAACGCAUUGGAAACUGAAAGACUUGAAUCAGUAAGGGGUAACCGGAAUUCCUGGUGUAGGGGUGAAAUCUGUUGAUAUUAGGAAGAACACCGAUGGCGAAGGCAGGUUACUGGUACAUGAUUGACGCUGAGAUGCGAAAGCGUAGGGAGCGAACAGGAUUAGAUACCCUGGUAGUCUACGCUGUAAACGAUGUGCACUUGGUGUCGGGGUUUCUAAGCCUCGGUGCCGUAGCUAACGCGUUAAGUGCACCGCCUGGGGAGUAUGCCGGCAACGGUGAAACUCAAAGGAAUUGACGGGGGCCCGCACAAGCGGUGGAGCAUGUGGUUUAAUUCGAUGAUACGCGAGAAACCUUACCAGGGUUUGACGUAUUUAUGAUCGACGUAGAGAUACGUAAUUCCCUUCGGGGACAUUUAUACAGGUGCUGCAUGGUUGUCGUCAGCUCGUGCCGUGAGGUGUUGGGUUAAGUCCCGCAACGAGCGCAACCCCUAUUGUCUGUUACCAUCAUUAAGUUGGGGACUCAGGCAAGACUGCCGGUGACAAACCGGAGGAAGGUGGGGACGACGUCAAAUCAUCAUGGCCCUUAUAUCCUGGGCUACACACGUGCUACAAUGGCCGGUACAGAGUGAAGCGAAGCCGCGAGGUGAAGCAAAACGCAGAAAGCCGGUCUCAGUUCGGAUUGGAGUCUGAAACUCGACUCCAUGAAGGUGGAAUCGCUAGUAAUCGCGCAUCAGCAUGGCGCGGUGAAUACGCUCCCGGGCCUUGUACACACCGCCCGUCACACCACCCGAGUUGGGGGUACCCGAAGUCGCUAGUCUAACCUGCAAAGGAGGACGGCGCCGAAGGUAUGCCUGGUAAGGGGGGUGAAGUCGUAACAAGGUA